rnacentral:rRNA from 1 species
GUGAGGAAUAUUGGUCAAUGGGCGGAAGCCUGAACCAGCCAUGCCGCGUGAAGGACGAAGGCGUUCUGCGUUGUGAACUUCUUUUAUAAGGGAAGAAACCUGCGAGAUCUAUUGCAGCCGACGGUACCUUAUGAAUAAGCACCGGCUAACUCCGUGCCAGCAGCCGCGGUAAUACGGAGGGUGCAAGCGUUAUCCGGAUUCACUGGGUUUAAAGGGUGUGUAGGCGGGCUUGUAAGUCAGGGGUGAAAUCCUACAGCUUAACUGUAGAACUGCCUUUGAUACUAUCGGUCUUGAAUAUUGUUGAGGUGGGCGGAAUACAUCAUGUAGCGGUGAAAUGCUUAGAUAUGAUGUAGAACACCGAUUGCGAAGGCAGCUCACUAAGCAAAUAUUGACGCUGAGGUACGAAAGCGUGGGGAUCAAACAGGAUUAGAUACCCUUGUAGUCC